rnacentral:rRNA from 1 species
GACGAACGCUGGCGGCAGUGCCUAAUACAUGCAAGUCGAGCGAACAGAAGAGAAGCUUGCUUCUCAGACGUUAGCGGCGGAUGGGUGAGUAACACGUGGGCAACCUGCCCUGCAGUUGGGGAUAACUCCGGGAAACCGGGCUAAUACCGAAUAAUUAGUUGGUUCGCAUGAACCAACUCUAAAAGAUGGUUUCGGCUAUCACUGCAGGAUGGGCCCGCGGCGCAUUAGCUAGUUGGUGGGAUAAUGGCCUACCAAGGCAACGAUGCGUAGCCGACCUGAGAGGGUGAUCGGCCACACUGGGACUGAGACACGGCCCAG